UACGAAGGGUGCAAACGUUGCUCGGAAUUACUGGGCGUAAAGCGUGCGCAGGCGGCUAUCCAAGUCAGUGGUGAAAGCCCGGAGCUCAACUCCGGAACUGCCAUUGAAACUGUUUAGCUCGAGUACGAGAGAGGUGAGUGGAAUUCCCAGUGUAGAGGUGAAAUUCGUAGAUAUUGGGAAGAACACCGGUGGCGAAGGCGGCUCACUGGCUCGUAACUGACGCUCAUGCACGACAGCGUGGGGAUCAAACAGG
rnacentral:rRNA from 1 species